rnacentral:rRNA from 1 species
GAUGAACGCUGGCGGCGUGCCUAAUACAUGCAAGUCGAGCGAACGGACGAGAAGCUUGCUUCUCUGAUGUUAGCGGCGGACGGGUGAGUAACACGUGGAUAACCUACCUAUAAGACUGGGAUAACUUCGGGAAACCGGAGCUAAUACCGGAUAAUAUUUUGAACCGCAUGGUUCAAAAGUGAAAGACGGUCUUGCUGUCACUUAUAGAUGGAUCCGCGCUGCAUUAGCUAGUUGGUAAGGUAACGGCUUACCAAGGCAACGAUGCAUAGCCGACCUGAGAGGGUGAUCGGCCACACUGGAACUGAGACACGGUCCAGACUCCUACGGGAGGCAGCAGUAGGGAGUCUUCCGCAAUGGGCGAAAGCCUGACGGAGCAACGCCGCGUGAGUGAUGAAGGUCUUCGGAUCGUAAAACUCUGUUAUUAGGGAAGAACAUAUGUGUAAGUAACUGUGCACAUCUUGACGGUACCUAAUCAGAAAGCCACGGCUAACUACGUGCCAGCAGCCGCGGUAAUACGUAGGUGGCAAGCGUUAUCCGGAAUUAUUGGGCGUAAAGCGCGCGUAGGCGGUUUUUUAAGUCUGAUGUGAAAGCCCACGGCUCAACCGUGGAGGGUCAUUGGAAACUGGAAAACUUGAGUGCAGAAGAGGAAAGUGGAAUUCCAUGUGUAGCGGUGAAAUGCGCAGAGAUAUGGAGGAACACCAGUGGCGAAGGCGACUUUCUGGUCUGUAACUGACGCUGAUGUGCGAAAGCGUGGGGAUCAAACAGGAUUAGAUACCCUGGUAGUCCACGCCGUAAACGAUGAGUGCUAAGUGUUAGGGGGUUUCCGCCCCUUAGUGCUGCAGCUAACGCAUUAAGCACUCCGCCUGGGGAGUACGACCGCAAGGUUGAAACUCAAAGGAAUUGACGGGGACCCGCACAAGCGGUGGAGCAUGUGGUUUAAUUCGAAGCAACGCGAAGAACCUUACCAAAUCUUGACAUCCUUUGACAACUCUAGAGAUAGAGCCUUCCCCUUCGGGGGGCAAAGUGACAGGUGGUGCAUGGUUGUCGUCAGCUCGUGUCGUGAGAUGUUGGGUUAAGUCCCGCAACGAGCGCAACCCUUAAGCUUAGUUGCCAUCAUUAAGUUGGGCACUCUAAGUUGACUGCCGGUGACAAACCGGAGGAAGGUGGGGAUGACGUCAAAUCAUCAUGCCCCUUAUGAUUUGGGCUACACACGUGCUACAAUGGACAAUACAAAGGGCAGCGAAACCGCGAGGUCAAGCAAAUCCCAUAAAGUUGUUCUCAGUUCGGAUUGUAGUCUGCAACUCGACUACAUGAAGCUGGAAUCGCUAGUAAUCGUAGAUCAGCAUGCUACGGUGAAUACGUUCCCGGGUCU